rnacentral:rRNA from 1 species
UACAGAGGGUGCAAACGUUGCUCGGAAUUAUUGGGCGUAAAGCGCGUGUAGGCGGCUUGUUAAGUUGGUCGUGAAAGCCCAUGGCUCAACCAUGGAAGUGCAACCAAAACUGGCAAGCUUGAGUGCUGAAGAGGAUGGCGGAAUUCCCAGUGUAGAGGUGAAAUUCGUGGAUAUUGGGAGGAACAUCGGUGGCGAAGGCGGCCAUCUGGGAAGCAACUGACGCUGAGACGCGAAAGCGUGGGUAGCAAACAGG